rnacentral:rRNA from 1 species
CCUACGGGAGGCAGCAGUGAGGAAUAUUGGUCAAUGGGCGAGAGCCUGAACCAGCCAAGUCGCGUGAGGGAGUACUGCCCUAUGGGUUGUAAACCUCUUUUGUCGGGGAGCAAAAGCCGGACGUGUUCGGCUGUGAGAGUACCCGAAGAAAAAGCAUCGGCUAACUCCGUGCCAGCAGCCGCGGUAAUACGGAGGAUGCGAGCGUUAUCCGGAUUUAUGGGGUUAAAAGGGUGCGCAGGCGGAUUUUUAAGUCAGCGGUCAAAUCGUGGGGCUCAACCCCAUCCAGCCGUUGAAACUGGGGAUCUAGAGUGUGCGAGAGGUAUGCGGAAUGCGUGGUGUAGCGGUGAAAUGCAUAGAUAUCACGCAGAACCCCGAUUGCGAAGGCAGCAUACCGGUGCACAACUGACGCUCAGGCACGAAAGCGUGGGUAUCGAACAGGAUUAGAUACCCCUGUAGUC